GCUGGCGGCGUGCUAAUACGUGCAAGUCGAACGGUAACCCUUGGAUUCGUCUGAAGGGGAGAGUGGCGAACUGGUGAGUAACACGUAGGUGACCUGCCUCGAAGACGGGGAUAACCAUCGGAAACGGUGGCUAAUACCCGAUACAUUCGGCAAUUCAGUUUGUCGAGUAAAGCUCCGGCGCUUCGAGAUGGACCUGCGGCCUAUCAGCUAGUUGGUAGGGUAAUGGCCUACCAAGGCGAAGACGGGUAGGGGGCGUGAGAGCGUGGUCCCCCACACUGGCACUGAGAUACGGGCCAGACUCCUGCGGGAGGCAGCAGUCGGGGAUAUUGCACAAUCAGCGAAAGCUGGAUGCAGCGACGCCGCGUGGGCGGUGAAGGCCUUCGGGUUGUAAAGCCCUUUUAUGGGGGAAGAGAAAAAGGACGGUACCCCAAGAAUAAGUCCCGGCUAACUACGUGCCAGCAGCCGCGGUAAAACGUAGGGGACAAGCGUUAUCCGGAUUUACUGGGCGUAAAGAGCGUUGAGGCGGUUCCGUAAGUUGGGCGUUAAAGCCCCGGGCUCAACUCGGGGAGGUCGUUCAAUACUGCGGAACUUGAGGGCAGCAGAGGGAGGCGGAAUUCCCGGUGUAGCGGUGAAAUGCGUAGAUAUCGGGAGGAAACACCAAGUGGCGAAGGCGGCCUCCUGGGCUGCUCCUGACGCUGAAGGCGAAAGCUAGGGGAGCGAACGGGAUUAGAAACCCCGGUAGUCCUAGCCGUAAACGAUGGAUGCUGGGUGUGGGGGGUAUAGAUUCCCUCCGUGCCGAAGCUAACGCGUUAAGCAUCCCGCCUGGGGACUACGGCCGCAAGGCUAAAACUCAAACGAAUUGACGGGUCCCCGCACAAGCAGCGGAGCGUGUGGUUUAAUUCGAUGCUACACGAAGAACCUUACCUGGGUUUGACAUGCAAGUAGUAGUGAAGCGAAAGCGGAACGACCCUUCGGGGAGCUUGCACAGCUGCUGCAUGGCUGUCGUCAGCUCGUGCCGU
rnacentral:rRNA from 1 species